GCCCUGGUCCAAGAUGGCGGAUGAGGCCACGCGACGUGUUGUGUCUGAGAUCCCGGUGCUGAAGACUAACGCCGGACCCCGAGAUCUAUGUGGAGAACAACAAGAAUGCUGACAACGAUUGGUUCCGACUGGAGUCCAACAAGGAAGGGACUCGGUAGGUAGACCCUCUUGGGAGGUGUGGGGUGGGAGUCUUAUAUGAGUUAGGUAAUUUGGUAUCCUAGCGCCCACUACCAAAGCUGCCCUGUCUCAUGUUAGCUGUCUCCACUCCCACAGCUCCAGAGUUCCCCAGUUCUCAUCCUAUGAGUUUCCCAGGUUGGUGGCCUAAGCCAAGAUGUCAUUUGAGUAUUGGAAGAAUAGGCAAAUUGGGCUAAGGUUUGGUCUUUGUUACAGGUGGUUUGGAAAAUGCUGGUAUAUCCAUGACCUCCUGAAAUAUGAGUUUGACAUCGAGUUUGACGUGAGUGUGAUAGAGUGGGAAAUAUGAAGGUUAGUAGA
rnacentral:sRNA from 1 species